ACUCAGCCAUCAUUUCAUCAGCAUUAAUGCUCAUGGUUUAUUUGUUUUCUUUUUUAAAGGUGUCCAGUCGGAGGUUGUUUUGACCCAGCCAGAGGCAGAGACUGGCCGUCCUGCAGGCAGCCUGAAACUGACCUGUAAAACCAGCGGGUUCGAUCUUAGCAGCAGCUACAUGUACUGGGUCCGACAGGUUCCCGGACAGGGUCUGGAGUGGCUGGUUCGCUACUAUAGUUCAUCCAGCAGUAACUAUGCACCAGCGGUUAAGGGUCGAUUUACUGCGUCCAAAGACACUUCAAACAACAUUUUCGCGUUGGACAUGGGGAACCUGAAGAUCGAAGACACCGCCAUCUAUUACAGUGCAAGAGACCACAGCGAGAGGAACCAGGGCUGGACCCGUUCAAAAACAGCUCGAGGGAACAUUUUGUCAAUUCCAUCAUAAACUGACGGUCAGUACGAGUUUUAAAUGCAAUUAUACCAACUGCAAUCUGAAGCAGACCUCAGGUUGCCUCUUACAAAACUAU